UGGAAAGCAAUAAUCAAAUUAAAUCUAUUCCGACAAAUAAUCUCGUUCAGUCUCACUCUAGAUCAUCGAUUAUCGACGUACUAUCUAUAGUUGCUCGCGAUGUCGGCGAACUGUUCGCGACGCUUGCGGUACACCGGAUCCUUGAAGCCCUGAAAUCACCAAAGAAUAAUCACUCCGACAAAAUUCCACGCGUUUUAAACUUCUCCCGGCGCGCAAACUAUACAAAAAGAAAAAAAAGAAGAAGAAGAAAAUAAACAUACAGGAUGAUCCGCGUCCAGUUCAGUACCAUACAUGAGCACUCUCUGAGAUUGAUCCAAGUCUGAUAUUUUUCGUGGGAACCAGGGCAUGUCUACCUCGCUGAAAUCUACAAAGGAAAAUUUGUUAAAGAGAUUCGUUGAAGGGAAAGGAAAUAGAAAUAUUCGGUAAAGUCUCCUUAAAUAUAUGCAAAGUUGCAAACGUAUGCCGACGAGCUUCGAACGUAGAGGACAGCGAAUAAAGAAGAGGACGAAGUGAAAACACCGGGUUACCUCGUCUGUUAGAAAAAAAGGACUCACCGAAGCUUGGGGCGGCCGAGAGCGAGGGAGCGUGGUGUAUGUUCCCCAUCUGUUCGUACUGGGCCAAAUUAAUGGCGGCGACCUCGCGAUUCAACAUCCUCGUCAACUGUUCCAUC